GAUGAACGCUGGCGGCGUGCCUAAUACAUGCAAGUCGAGCGAACGGACGAGAAGCUUGCUUCUCUGAUGUUAGCGGCGGACGGGUGAGUAACACGUGGAUAACCUACCUAUAAGACUGGGAUAACUUCGGGAAACCGUAGCUAAUACCGGAUAAUAUUUUGAACCUCAUGGUUCAAAAGUGAAAGACGGUCUUGCUGUCACUUAUAGAUGGAUCCGCGCUGCAUUAGCUAGUUGGUAAGGUAACUGCUUACCAAGGCAACGAUGCAUAGCCGACCUGAACGGGUGGACGGCCACCCGGGAAGUGAGGCACGGUCGAGACACCGACAGGGAGCAGCAGUAGGGAAUCUUACGCAAGGGGCGAAAGGCUGACGGAGCAACGCCGCGUGAGUGAUGAAGGUCUUCGGAUCGUAAAACUCUGUUAUUAGGGAAGAACAUAUGUGUAAGUAACUGUGCACAUCUUGACGGUACCUAAUCAGAAAGCCACGGCUAACUACGUG
rnacentral:rRNA from 1 species